UACGUAGGGGGCAAGCGUUGUCCGGAUUUAUUGGGGGUAAAGAGCGUGUAGGCGGCCAGGUAGGUCAGCUGUGAAAACUCGAGGCUCAACCUCGAGACGUCGGUUGAAACCAUCUGGCUAGAGUCCGGAAGAGGAGAGUGGAAUUCCUGGUGUAGCGGUGAAAUGCGCAGAUAUCAGGAAGAACACCCGUGGCGAAGGCGGCUCUCUGGGACGGUACUGACGCUGAGGAGCGAAAGCAUGGGUAGCGAACAGG
rnacentral:rRNA from 1 species